rnacentral:sRNA from 1 species
CACACACUUUGAUAAAGAUGGCUGUGAAGAAUAUGUAGUGCUGUUGUAUUUUUUAUUGUGGGGCACCAUUGAGAAUGUAAAACGUAAAGCAAAUCUUUCCUAUAGAUGUCGUCUCAUGCAACCAGAUCUUGGUGGAGAUGAUCCCAUUGUGGAAGAGAGUUCAGCUGUGAGAGAGUUCUCCAAGUACAUGAAAUCCAUCUGUCAAGACUUGAGUGAAAAAACACGACUCUAUCUUUCAUUGAUUGAUCUGCUCCUGGAAGGUUUUAUGGUUAGGCGCAUUGGUGACAACUCAAAACAGUUAAAUGUUUCAUGAACACAUUUAAAAAAAAUUCUUUAGUUAAUCAUUCUCAGGCGAUAUUCUCUCUAUUCAUGUUUAAUUUAAUUUAAUGUAUGUCCAGGAACAGUUUCUGCAUUGGGAUAAAUAUUUUUCCUUCUUAAAGCACACAUUUUUAUGGUGAUUUCAAUUCUUGUUAGCUGUUACAGUGGCUGAAGGGUAAAGUUCAUAUCUGCUGAACAAAGCUUUCGCAUUUGAGAGGAGGCUGGGGUUUUAAUUCAGUAUCUCAGUCCACAUAGUGCCAAUCUCUACUUUAUUUUUUCUUUUUUUGUUUAUAGGAGGCAAGUCACCAGUCUUUGUUAACUUGAGUUGUUUACUUAUUAUUAUUAUUAUAUAACUUAAACUGUGUUCUGUAAUAUAUUAUAUAUGUUGUCUCAUUAGGCUAGCUAUGACUAAUGUAUUAGUUGCCACUGAUGUAAAAUAAAAUUUUGUAUACUCUCUUUGUAACAAGUAAGGGACAACCGUCCGUGGUAUUAGGAAAUUAAUUUUCAGCUUACCAAAACCAUCAUUAAUUUUCUUACUCAAAUAUAUUUUAUAAGAGAUUUCAUGACAGAUAUCAUUGCUAUGACAAAGUAAGACCACACUUUUUGAUUUGUUUUUAUUAUUUGUGUUGUAAUAGUUUUGUUAAAGUGUAUACAAACAAAAUGACUAUUUUUUUGCUCUUUAUUAUUUUUGUUAUUAAAUUGUAUAUAAAAAAUGA